rnacentral:rRNA from 1 species
AGGGCACCACCAGGAGUGGAGCCUGCGGCUUAAUUUGACUCAACACGGGAAAACUCACCCGGCCCGGACACUGGAAGGAUUGACAGAUUGAGAGCUCUUUCUUGAUUCAGUGGGUGGUGGUGCAUGGCCGUUCUUAGUUGGUGGAGUGAUUUGUCUGGUUAAUUCCGAUAACGAACGAGACUCUAGCCUACUAAAUAGAUCGUCGGCUUACAAACGCCGGCGAGACUUCUUAGAGGGACAGGCGGUGAUUCAACCGCACGAAACAGAGCAAUAACAGGUCUGUGAUGCCCUUAGAUGUCCGGGGCCGCACGCGCGCUACACUGAAGUGAUCAGCGUGCUUUUUCAACCUACUCUGUCAAGAGUGGGGAACCCAAUGAACCUUCUUCGUGAUUGGGAUAGGGGAUUGUAAUUAUUCCCCUUGAACGAGGAAUUCCCAGUAAGCGCGAGUCAUAAGCUCGCGUUGAUUACGUCCCUGCCCUUUGUACACACCGCCCGUCGCUACUACCGAUUGAACGAUUU